rnacentral:tRNA from 1 species
CGGGGCGUAGCGCAGCUUGGUUAGCGCGCUUGACUGGGGGUCAAGAGGUCGCGAGUUCGAAUCUCGCCGCCCCGA